CUCUCUCAUGGAGCGGUGGUUUCUCUGCUCACGCCCCGCCGCCUCCAAACCACCGCAUCCGAAGGUGUCUGGCAUCGACUCGAUGCCAGGCCUCGGGGUGAGGGGAACCCGAGGAUGCGGCUGGGCCGCCGGGCCCUCUGCGCGCUGCUCCUGCUGCUCGCCUGCGCCUUGCUGGGGCUUCUGUACGCCAGCACCCGAGACGCGCCGGGCCUCCCCACCCCUGUGGCGUUGUGGGCGCCUCCCCAGGGUCCUCUCCGGCCGGAGCUGCCAGACCUUUCCCCCGAGCCCCGCUACGCACACAUCCCGGUCAGGAUCAAGGAGCGAGUGGUGGGGCUGCUGGCUCAGAACAACUGCAGUUGUGAGUCCAGUGGGGGGAGCUUUCUUGUCCCCUUCCAGAGACAGGUCCGAGCCAUUGACCUCACCAAGGCCUUUGACCCUGAGGAACUGAGGACUGUUUCUGCUAUCAGGGAGCAGGAAUUCCAAGCCUUCCUUUCAAGGAGCCAGUCCCCAGCUGACCAGCUUCUCAUAGCCCCUGCCAAUUCCCCCCUACAGUAUCCUGUGCAGGGCGUGGAGGUUCAGCCCCUCAGGAGCAUCCUGGUGCCAGGGCUACGCCUGCAGGCAACUUCUGUUCAGGAAGUCUAUCAGGUGAAUCUGACUGCUUCGCUGGGCACCUGGGAUGUAGCAGGGGAAGUGACAGGAGUGACUGUCACUGGAGAAGGGCAGCCAGAUCUCACCCUUGCCAGUCCAGGGCUAGAUCAACUCAACCGGCAGCUGCAACUAGUCACUUACAGCAGCCGAAGCUACCAAGCCAACACAGCAGACACAGUCCACUUCUCCACCAAGGGACACGAAGCUGCCUUCACUAUCCGAGUAAGACAUCCUCCCAACCCCCGGCUGUACCCGCCUGCGUCUCUACCCCAGGGAGCCCAGUACAACAUCAGUGCCCUGGUCACCAUUGCCACCAAGACCUUCCUUCGCUACGAUCGGCUCCGGGCACUCAUUGCCAGCAUCCGACGCUUCUACCCAACCAUCACCGUGGUCAUUGCCGACGACAGCGACAACCCAGAGCGCAUUAAUGAACCCCACGUGGAGCACUAUCUCAUGCCCUUUGGCAAGGGUUGGUUCGCCGGCCGGAACCUGGCCGUGUCCCAAGUAAUCACCAAAUACGUGCUGUGGGUGGACGACGACUUCAUCUUCACGGCGCGCACGCGGCUGGAGAAGCUCGUGGACGUGCUGGAGCGGACGCCGCUGGACCUGGUAGGGGGCGCGGUGCGCGAGAUCUCGGGUUUUGCCACCACUUACCGGCAGCUGUUGACUGUGGAGCCCGGCGCCCCGGGCAUCGGGAACUGCUUCAGGCAAAAGCGUGGCUUCCACCACGAGCUCGUCGGCUUCCCCGGCUGUGUGGUCACCGAUGGCGUGGUCAACUUCUUCCUGGCGCGCACCGACAAAGUGCGCGAGGUGGGCUUUGACCCGCGCCUCAGCCGGGUGGCGCAUCUGGAAUUCUUCCUGGAUGGGCUCGGUUCCCUUCGCGUGGGCUCCUGCUCCGACGUCAUUGUGGACCAUGCAUCGAAGCUGAAGCUGCCCUGGUCGUCCAGGGAUGCUGAGGCAGAGACUUACGCUCGGUACCGUUACCCAGGAUCACUGGAUGAAAGUCAGCUGGCCAAACACCGCCUCCUCUUCUUCAAGCACCGGCUGCAGUGCAUGACGGCUGAAUGAUGACCGACCUGAGCCUUCCCCUGUCAGGCUGGGCCUGCCUUUCUGUCCCCACCAGGAGUUUCCAGCAAACCUCUCCACCCUGAGAGCACCCCACUGACAGUUCCUGAUCUUCUGGUCCCCCUCCCCUUCAGAACCUGAACCCAACUAGGGGUUUGUCCAGGUGACACCCCUGCUUUCCGUGAGUGCCCAGGGACCUGUGGAGCCAUAUGCCUCUCCCACAGCCAGUGCCAACUCCUUCCUCCCCACCCUGUUUGCACGGGGCAGGAAAUUUUCCAAGUGCCAAAGAGCCCAGGAGGACUCUUAAGACCCUCACGUGGAAACACUCUUCACCUUGGGACUGAGGGAGCAGGGAAGCUCCCAAUGUGCACCCCUCGUCCAUGCCCCCCCACAGCUCAGGAUCCAGCAUUCUGUGCAAGUCUCCAGCGCACCCCCUCAGAGAGCAUUGUGACUCUGGAGUUCUGUGGGGCUGGUGAACACAUGAUGUCCAGCCCUCCCAUUCCAGACAUGACUCACCAUUACACUGAGCCAGGAGAAGAUAGAUCCCAGCGUCCUGGCAGCGGCUGGCAAGCUGCAGGGAUGAGACAAGGGUUAAAUCCUAACUCUCAGCACGUGAGUGAGGUGAGAAGGGCUUUUUCUCCGCCUGUCUACUCCCUCACCUGUGCCACUUCCCUGGCCCCCGCAGCAUCUGCAAAAGUGACGCCACUGAAGUCUAGGAUCACCACUCUGACGGGCUCAGCAACUAGGAAGGGAGAAAGCAGCAGUACCCAGAUGCUUCCAUGAGCCGUGGCCAAACUCCCUCCUUGUCCUUCCAUCUCACCUGCACCAGGUUCCCAUCCUCCACCAUAUAGACGCCAGUGGAUAUCUUCCAACCUUGCACUUGUUUCACCACUGAUGACAUCUCAGCCUGAACGUUCCAUCCUUUCUCUUCUCCCAAGGACAGUCUCUUACCUGUGUAUUCCCACCUGCGUCCACUAGUAGGCUGGUGGUGGCCAGCGUGGCAGAGUUGGGAAAGCAAGAGAAAAGGGAGGAUAUGAGGUUGGAGACACCAUGGGCCAAGAGCUCCUGGAAGGAUGGAGAGAGGUCCCCGAGGAGCGAGACAAAGGCAUGGGGGGCAACAGUCCCACUACCUGGACAUUAUAUCUUGUGUCCAGAGAAGAGGUGAAGCAGAGCACAGAGGCCAGAAGGACCUGCGGAAGAGAACAACACAUCAGGGCCUACAAGAAGAUGAGGCCUUAGAGGCUAGAAGGGGCUCAGCAUGUAAGCAACUGGUGAGAAUGCGCUGUGCUUGAAUAAGUGUCUGGCCACUGGUAUACUGUGAAGGCAUGUGGGGAUAGGGAAGAAACAAGAUGUAUGCUUGAGGCUAUAGAGAGAGAAACUGGCCUGGAGAGGUGGCUCAGCAGUUAAAGGGUUCAGUUCCCCAGUAUCCAUGUAUGG